rnacentral:pre_miRNA from 1 species
UUACUACUCCCUCCGUCCCAAAAUUCUUGUCUUAGAUUUGUCUAAAUACGGAUGUAUCAAGUCACGUUUUAGUAUUAGAUACAUCCGUAUCUAGACAAAUUUAAGACAAGAAUUUUGGGACGGAGGGAGUACUUA